UACGACUCUGUGGAAGCACAAUAAGCAGAAUACUUACACCUAGUAGCAUGAUAGACUCUCACUCUUUACGCUUCUCACCGUCUAUAUAAGAACCUACUGGGUAUUAGUCCAAGCCAUUUCAAAUCAAAGGCAAACUUUUGGAAGACAAAGAGAAGGAAUCAUGGCAGUCAACAAGAUUGGUGCAAUGGCUAUUCUUUUUUGUGGGAUGAUCCUUCUGGAAGCAAAUGUGGAGGUCGCGGCCGUCAGGCCUGGGCCUGGGCCUGAGACGCCUUGCCCACUCCAUUGCAUAUUUGUCGAGUCCGUGAUAUGUGAUGGAGUGAAGCUGGAGAUAAACUGCACCAAUUGCUGCUUCUCCAACGGCUGUCUUGUUCGCUAUACUAGUGGAAAGGAAGAGAUUUGUACUUGGCCGCCUGUGCAAAAAUUGGGGUUUGGUAAAGGGAAUUACAACAUAUAGUACUCUAAACGAGUACUAAAUAAUGGGUAUAAUAUAUGCCCUUUCUAGUGUGUUUUUCGGUUUCCGCGAGGGUGGGAUCAUAUAAGUAUGCCAAGUACUAUAUCAGUGAUUCAUGAGAUAGAGUGAAUCAUGAUGUUCAAUAAAAUGGAAGUAUAUGAAUGAGUACUUUUCUUAUAAGAAGCGACGACGUGCUAUACAUAAUUAAAUUCA